GAUGAACGCUGGCGGCGUGCCUAAUACAUGCAAGUCGAGCGAACAGACGAGGAGCUUGCUCCUCUGACGUUAGCGGCGGACGGGUGAGUAACACGUGGAUAACCUACCUAUAAGACUGGGAUAACUUCGGGAAACCGGAGCUAAUACCGGAUAAUAUAUUGAACCGCAUGGUUCAAUAGUGAAAGACGGUUUUGCUGUCACUUAUAGAUGGAUCCGCGCCGCAUUAGCUAGUUGGUAAGGUAACGGCUUACCAAGGCAACGAUGCGUAGCCGACCUGAGAGGUGGGGCGGCCACACUGGAAGGGGACCAGGGCCCAGACGCCUAGGGGAGGCAGAAGUGGGGAAUCUUCCGCAAUGGGGGAAAUUUGGACGGAGCAGCGCGGCGUGAGUGAUAAAGGUCUUGGGAUCUAAAAACUCUUUUAUGGGGGAAAAACAAAUGUUUAAUUAACUAUGCACGUCUUGAGGGUACCUAAUAAGAAAGCCACGGCUAACUACGUG
rnacentral:rRNA from 1 species